GAUGAACGCUAGCGGCAGGCCUAACACAUGCAAGUCGAGGGAGAAGCCCUUUCGGGGGCAGAAACCGGCGCACGGGUGCGUAACGCGUAUGCAACCUACCUUUCACAGGGGGAUAGCCCGAAGAAAUUUGGAUUAAUACCCCAUAAUAUUAUUGGAUGGCAUCAUUUGAUAAUUAAAACUGCGGUGGUGAAAGAUGGGCAUGCGUCCUAUUAGCUAGUUGGAGUGGUAACGGCACCCCAAGGCUACGAUAGGUAGGGGUCCUGAGAGGGAGAUCCCCCACACUGGUACUGAGACAGGGACCAGACUCCUACGGGAGGCAGCUGUGAGGAAUAUUGGUCAAUGGUCGGAAGACUGAACCAGCCAUGCCGCGUGCAGGAAGAAUGCCUUAUGGGUUGUAAACUGCUUUUAUAUGGGAAGAAUAAGGCGUACGUGUACGUUGAUGACGGUACCAUAUGAAUAAGCAUCGGCUAACUCCGUG
rnacentral:rRNA from 1 species